rnacentral:misc_RNA from 1 species
AAAUAUCCGGAGAAUCGAGGUCCUCGCGACCUCGUGCACCCCCACCGUGUCUACCUACUAUCGUUGCUUUGGCGGGUCGUCUCACGACCACGGGCCCCGGCUCGUGAGUGCCUGCCAGAGGACCACAACUCUUGUUUUUAGUGAUGUCUGAGUACUAUAUAAUAGUUAAAACUUUCAACAACGGAUCUCUUGGUUCU